AGACAACAAACCAAACUCAUAAACACUAUAAUCAGACAAAAAACAAAACCAUUGUUUCUCCUUCUUUCUUCUCCAAUGAUAUCGAUGUCUGAAGAAAACCACUAAAUGUCAAAAAUACAAAACCUCCAACCUCCUUCCACUAAAACUCUCUCUCUAUAUAGUAAUCUUUUAAUCCCGUUUCUGUGCAAUGGAGAAACCACCGGAAAAAGUGAACAAGGGGUUUUGGAGGCCCAAAGACCAAACCGGUCUCAAAAUCGAUCAGAGCCCGUCCGGAGGAUCACUCCUUUCCUGAAGAAAUGCUCAAAGAUUCAGUGGUGGAGCUCCCAGUUUACAUGGCGCCGUCGUCCUCCUCGAGUACCUCGCUGCUGAAGUAAGUAUCUCGAUUCAGAUCUGAUUUUUGAUUAGCCAAAAUCAUUGUCUGAUUUCUAAGAUUUGUGGUGAUUCAGGUGUUAGAGAGCUUGCUGCCAGAGACAACAAGAAGUCCGACGAUCGUUCCCCAGCCCAUCUUCUUCGUUUGCUGAUUGGGAACUAUCAACCUUUUACCAAAUUUUUCUUUUAUUUUUGUCAAACUUUUUUUAGAGUAAUUUUAUAUUAUUAUUAUAUAUAUAUUUAGAUAGGGGGAGAGUGAGAGAGAGUGGAGAGAGAGUGGGAAGAGAGAGAGAGAGAGAGUGGGAAGAGAGAGGGGGAUAGCCAGCCC
rnacentral:lncRNA from 1 species